GGAAUGUCUGUGGAUAUGCCAAAUUUUAUUCGAAUUCGAAUUUGAGCGUAACGAAUUUAUUCAAUACUAAACAGAUAUAAUUUUGGAUAUGCGUAUAAAAAAUAAAAAGUCUGACGAAUUUGGAUUCGAAUAUGAUUUUGUUUGUACCUAACCCGUACUCAUAGUUAGUUAAUUUGGAUUCGGCAAAAAUUCGGUACGGAUAUAAUACGCAUAAAAUUCAUUUUUUAAUUUGGAUUCGGUAUAAAAUAUAAAAUAUAAGAUAAUUUAUAUUUAAAAAUAAAAAUUUAUAAGUUUUAAUUUAUAUUUUUAAUAAUUCGGAAAUAAUUCGCGAAUAAUUCGGCUAGCCCAAAAAUUCACGAAUAAUUCACUUUCUUUGCGAAAAAUUCGUAAACGGACCGUUUAAUUCGGAUUUUCAAUAAUUCACGAAUAAUUUGCGAAUUAACUAACUAGGCCCGUACUCUGAUUGAUUUUACAUUAUAUAAUGGGAUAAUAUCUAAUAUGCUUCUGAAAAUUUCUAAAAUAUCUAAUAUACUCUUUUUUUAUUUCAAAUAUACUCCUUCUAUAUUUCUCUAUUAUUUAAAUACCCUGCUUUUAGUACCCGGUCGUGGGUUAAAUCUGAAUUAAAUUUGUACCAGAGUUUAAAAAACAUUUGAAAUACUUUUUUGCCUUAACUCAAGAGCAAAUAAGAAAAAUAAGAAAAAUUGAGGAUAGUAAAAAAGUAUAUUUAAAAAAUUAAAAAAUAAAAUUGUCACACCCCAAUAAUUUCAUAUCGGAUAGGAAUGGGAAUGUGAGUAUGUAUAUAAGAGACUUAGACAUUAGUAAUAAUAACUGGGCUUAAGCAUUUUAGGCUUGUAGUUGGGCCCAACGAAUUAUUGUUGCUAGUGGGCUGGAUCGUUACAUUUGGUAUCAGAGCCAAUCACCAGCCGAAAAUAUGUGGCUAGUCUCGACUGAGUCAGGGUCUGAAAGACAAGGUGAUAGGUUAUGCCGGAGUCUGUAUGACAAGAUGACCGGCCCGGUGAUCUUGGGCUGGCCUGAUGAUCUUGGGCUGUGUGUGUGAUUGGACUGACGAGGAUGUCAGGGUCUUAACGGGAAGAGUGUGUCACACCCCAAUAAUCCCACAUCGGGUAAUCUUGUGCUGUGUGUGUGAUUGGACUGACAAGGACGUCAGGGCCUUAACGGGCCUAAUAAUCCCACAUUAGAUAGGAAUGGAGAUGUGAGUGGGUAUAUAAGAGACUUAGACACUAGUAAUAAUAACUGAGUUUAAGCAUUUUGGACUGAUGGUUGGGCCCAACGAAUUAUUGUUGCUAGUGGGUUGGAUCGAUACAAAA
rnacentral:lncRNA from 1 species